rnacentral:rRNA from 1 species
GAGUUUGAUCCUGGCUCAGAUUGAACGCUGGCGGAAUGCUUUACACAUGCAAGUCGAACGGCAGCACGGGGGCAACCCUGGUGGCGAGUGGCGAACGGGUGAGUAAUACAUCGGAACGUGCCCAGUCGUGGGGGAUAACGUAGCGAAAGCUACGCUAAUACCGCAUACGAACUCAGGUUGAAAGCGGGGGAUCGCAAGACCUCGCGCGAUUGGAGCGGCCGGUGGCAGAUUAGGUAGUUGGUGGGGUAAAGGCCUACCAAGCCGACGAUCUGUAGCUGGUCUGAGAGGACGACCAGCCACACUGGGACUGAGACACGGCCCAGACUCCUACGGGAGGCAGCAGUGGGGAAUUUUGGACAAUGGGCGCAAGCCUGAUCCAGCCAUUCCGCGUGCAGGAUGAAGGCCCUCGGGUUGUAAACUGCUUUUGUACGGAACGAAACGGCCUGCUCUAAUACAGCGGGCUAAUGACGGUACCGUAAGAAUAAGCACCGGCUAACUACGUGCCAGCAGCCG